CCUACGGGUGGCAGCAGUGAGGAAUAUUGGUCAAUGGGCGCGAGCCUGAACCAGCCAAGUCGCGUGAGGGAAGACGGUCCUAUGGAUUGUAAACCUCUUUUGUCGGGGAGCAAAAGACGCCACGCGUGGCGUUCCGAGAGUACCCGAAGAAAAAGCAUCGGCUAACUCCGUGCCAGCAGCCGCGGUAAUAGGGGGGAUGCGAGCGUUAUCGGGAUUUAUGGGGUUAAAAGGGUGCGCAGGCGGAAGAUCAAGUCAGCGGUAAAAUUGAGGGGCUCAACCUCUUCGAGCCGUUGAAACUGGUUAUCUUGAGUGAGUGAGAAGGGUGCAGAAUGCGUGGUGUAGCGGUGAAAUGCAUAGAUAUGACGCAGAACUCCGAUUGCGAAGGCAGCAUACCGGCGAUCAACUGACGCUCAUGCACGAAAGUGUGGGUAUCGAACAGGAUUAGAUACCCGAGUAGUC
rnacentral:rRNA from 1 species